GGCUGCGUGGCCCAGUGGUUAAGGCAUCUGCUUUACAAGGAUAUUGUCUCGCAGAGGAUCGCAGGUUCGAGCCCUGCCGCGGUCA